CUAGUGCCGGUCCGACCCAUAGGUUGGGUCGUGACAAAAUGUGUUAAGCCAAAUAUUCUCUUACAAAGCUUAAACUCUUAAUAUGAAUUCACUUGAGUAAAGCAUAUAAAAAAGCUAGUUACUAAACCCUCCCAUACGCUAAGCCACACAUAUAUUUUUUAACAACUGCAACUGCAUAGUUAAGCCAUUAAAUUUGGUGGCAUUACAUUUAUCAAACAGUAAUUAGUCAAGGGAUUCCAAUUAUAGGAAAGAAGGGAGUAUAAAAGCUAGAAGGUGCUAAGCCCCACUCCCUUGGGACAGGCAGAUCAAUUGUCUUGGAGGAACCUAUGUUUUUUAGCUUCCCAACAGGGGAUGUAGUGGAAAAGACAAGAGGAGUGGAGAUAGUGUAUGAGCUAGAAUCUUGGAUUUUCACAAUCUUGGACACCAUGU
rnacentral:misc_RNA from 1 species